AAAUGCCUCUAUGCUUAAAUGCGUUUACACACAGGUGCAGGUUACUUUUAAGCUUUACUGUAGUGUUCCGCUUUGGUAAAUCGAAAGAGGGAGUUUCGUUUAAACUUUCGUAGCAUCAAUACGUCAAUACGUCAUUAAAACAAUAACUGAUACUUUAAGCUACAAAAAUGAGAUUCUGCAGUGUUAAUAUGGCUGUUUACAAGUGAUUUGGGUUACCUUAUUACGGUACAGUGUUUUGUCUAUUGAUGAAAUUACCACUUAUGACAAGAGCGUUCACUGGAUUCUUCGGCUCAGUAGUGGAGGAGCCAAAGGAAGCAUCAUUGCGUCAAACUAUGUUUAAAAAUGUUCAUGAAAAGAGAGGCACAAGGACAAUAACCAUAAACGUCAAAUAAACUUGCAAAUGGAGAUAACAGAUUUAAAACGAUUUUCUAUCAUACUAGCGCAGGUGAUGGAAGAAAUAGGGC